GCUUCCUCACGGCUUCCCUGGUGCCCUCCCCUCCCCGGCCCGGCAGCUCUUGCCCGAGCCGCACGGUCCCGCCGAGAAGCAGCUCUUGGUGCAGCCUUUGAAUCGCCCUCAUGAAGCGAAAGCCGCGGCGCAGGCCAGCCCGCGAGCAGCACCGCAGGCAGGGAUCGCUGCUUCCCCUCCUGGAGCUGCGGGACACGCUGGGCUGCAGCGUGGAAAUCGCCCCCGAAUCUCCUAAAUCCAAGCCUGACUCCCCCUCCUCCGUGUGUCGGGAGCCGGGGCAGGAUGGUGUGAGCAGCUCCAACCUCCCCUGAGCGGCCCCGCACUCCUGCAGCCCUUCCCGCACAUAAACAAGUGUCAAAGACCUGUCUGCUCGCUGUGCCUUGCGAGAGCGCUGCCCUGCACCGAGCAUCCCCCUCCUCCUUCACUUCCCCUGCCAUCCCUCUGGCAGCGGGUUUUGUCUUUUUUUAAAAACCCAGGUGCCAAACCUGUGUGAAAUUACUGAUAUUCACUGAAAUCUGGCUGAGAAGCACUCAGUACGGGAGGUCACGGUCAGUUUUGUGGCACCAUCACCCCACAGCCGCUGCCUCACCUGCAGGUGGCUGGGGCUGCUCACCGACACAGAAGGGCUGUUAAAGGCGUGUUGAGCUUCAUUUACUCAAGGGUAGAAUUAAUUUGUUUGAACUGUUUCUUUCAGAUAAAAUAAGCCCUUUAAAGGCUGCCGCUACUCUGUCAUUUUAGGCAUGUCCAUGUCCACCUGCCUUGACUUUGCUUUGGUCUGUGUGGAACUGCAGAAUGUGACAAAAUGGCAUUUGGAAAAAGAACAAGUAAACACAGGCUUAAUGAACUCACUUAUUUUGCUUCCUGUACUUAUGACUCAUAAAAUGAAAAUCCUUUAAUGUUGUAACCCAAAUAAAUUGCCAUGUUGGUUGCCUCUCGACUGUACUGCAAGUAGGGAACAAGAAGGGCUGAGAGUGAGGGAUCAGGAAAAGGUAAGGAUGUGCUCAGCUCUGAUUAAGUAACAUUAUCCUGCUUCUUUUGGUUUUGAAAGGUGGAAAAGCAAGAGGUGAUGUCUAAUGCUCCCGGGCAGCAAACAAUGGGUGGGGAACGCUGAGCUGGGUGCAGCACUUGGCAGUCUUUGGGGUGCAGUGAUGAGGUGCCAGUGCUUGAUGGUAUGGAUAGAAGGGAACACGCCUCAGCCUUGUGACACGUGGGGUUAAUGGGGCAGAGCCACACCAUGUCCCUCUGAGGGGACCUGGGUGGCACUGCCACAGCAGUGUCACAUCCCAGCUCUGGGCAGGAGAGGUUCCCUUCCUGGGCCAUCCAAUCCCUCAGCUGUUACAGCUCCUCAUAACCCACAUUUUGUGAACAACCACAACUCCCACAGUGAUGUCCAUUUCAGCCCAUUCCACACAGAAGCGGAAAAAUUUCUUCCUGAGAAGGAAUUAAUGCAAGAGAAGUGGAGAUCAGUAAAUGACUACAAUAAAAAUACCCUUCAGCUUUCCUUUUUAUUCUUCCAUAUUUUUCCAGCAGCUGCUUAAAAACUGGUAUUCAGCAAUAAAAUGACCUGAUAACA